CUGAAGGCAACAACUUAAAUGGCUUCCAAUUUUCAUCUCAUCGUCCUCUUAGUACUCGUUUCUAUCUCUGUAACUUCCGGGUAUACUCUUUCCACAGGAGAUGCUGUCUUAAAAAAAUACGAUGAUGAAUCAUAUUUUAGGGCUUCAAGUGAGAAAGUACAGUCAAUGAUAGAUGUUAAAGAUCUAAAAGCUCGAAAUCUUCAAGCUAUAGUCGUUGUGAACAAAGCUUCUAAGGGCGGGGGUUUGCUGAAGAGAAAACACAAGAGUAACAAAGUAGGAUCACUGGACGUUUUAACUCUUGCUGGAAUCAUAAUCUUAUCUGUUAUAGUUACCAGCGUGAUCAUCGCUUUUCUAUAAAAUCUCUAUCAUGUGCUCAAAACAAAAAACACUCAAAGUAUUGGACAAGGAGAAGUGGGAGCUAAAGAGAUGGGACAUGAAGCGGACAAGAAGAUGGAAACAGAUACCAUGAGUCCUCAGGCAGGAAAACGUUCAAACGGUGACGCCAAUGUUUGAUACCAAGCGUUUGGAACCAUUAUUCUUAAACUCGUUCGUUAGAUCUCUCAUCUCCAUAAUCUUUCUUUUUGUUCGUUAUUGUUGUAACUUGUAAGUUGGUAUGAUGAUAAUUUCU